rnacentral:lncRNA from 1 species
CCGGCAUAACCCGAGGACCUUUUUUAUUUCCGACAUAAUCUGACGGCUUUCCCGGCAUAACCCGAUGACUUUUCCGGCAUAACCCGUGGUCUUCCCCAGCAUAACCCGAAGAUCUUUUUCUUUUCCGGCAUAACUCGAGGACCUUUCCGGCAUAACCCGAUCAUUUUUUCCAGCAUAACCUGGUAAUCUUUCCAACUUGGGGCCUCCGAUCCCCAUUUGAUUUCAUUUUAGAUAUAGGGUCUCCAUUCCCUAAUCUUUUUUUCUCUGGGAUACACAAUCCCGAUUUUAUUGCUUUCAAUAAAGAAAUAAUUUAGAUUUUGUUGCAAUAACUCACAAAAUUUUCCUAGUGAAAACUGGGGCAG